CCUACGGGUGGCAGCAGUGGGGAAUAUUGCACAAUGGGGGAAACCCUGAUGCAGCGACGCCGCGUGAGUGAAGAAGCGUUUCGGCGCGUAAAGCUCUGUCAGCGGGGAAGAAACACGGUUCGCGAGAGCCGCGGACGGUACCCGACCAAGAAGCCCCGGCUAACUACGUGCCAGCAGCCGCGGUAAUACGUAGGGGGCAAGCGUUAUCCGGAUUCACUGGGUGUAAAGGGAGCGUAGACGGCGAGACAAGUCUGGAGUGAAAGGCCGGGCCCAACCCCGGGACUGCGCUGGAAACUGCCUGGCUGGAGUACAGGAGAGGUAAGUGGAAUUCCUAGUGUAGCGGUGAAAUGCGUAGAUAUUAGGAGGAACACCAGUGGCGAAGGCAGCCUCCUGGGACGCAACUGACGCUCAUACACGAAAGCGUGGGGAGCAAACAGGAUUAGAUACCCGGGUAGUC
rnacentral:rRNA from 1 species